CAAUAGCGUAUAUUAAAGUUGUUGCAGUUAAAAAGCUCGUAGUUGGAUUUCUGGUGGGAGCGAUCGGUCUGGCGCUUAGCGCGAGUACUUGCAUCGUCUCCGGCCAUCCUUGGGGAGAGUCUGUCUGGCAUUAGGUUGUCGGGCAGAGGAUCCUCAUCGUUUACUGUGAAAAAAUUAGAGUGUUCAAAGCAGGCUUAUGCCGUUGAAUAUAUUAGCAUGGAAUAAUAAGAUAGGACUUUGGUACUAUUUUGUUGGUUUGCGCACCAAAGUAAUGAUUAAUAGGGACAGUUGGGGGUAUUCGUAUUCCGUUGUCAGAGGUGAAAUUCUUGGAUUUACGGGAGACGAACUACUGCGAAAGCAUUUACCAAGGAUGUUUUCAUUAA
rnacentral:rRNA from 1 species